rnacentral:sRNA from 24 species
ACACAGGAAAGGAGGUGGUCCGCGAAAUUGAUAGCUUCAUGGACAUGUGAGGUGGCUGCGCGCUAGCUGCAAUGGCUCGGAAGAGCCGGCGUUCUACGCACGCUGGCGAAUCCCACGUAGCCACCCGGCCCUCGAGCUUCCGGUCUGUCCAACCGGAAAAGCGCUCGGGGGCCGCUCCAU